rnacentral:rRNA from 1 species
GACGAACGCUGGCGGCGUGCCUAAUACAUGCAAGUAGAACGCUGACGGAGGAGCUUGCUUCUCUGGAUGAGUUGCGAACGGGUGAGUAACGCGUAGGUAACCUGCCUGGUAGCGGGGGAUAACUAUUGGAAACGAUAGCUAAUACCGCAUAAGAGUAGAUGUUGCAUGACAUUUGCUUAAAAGGUGCAAUUGCAUCACUACCAGAUGGACCUGCGUUGUAUUAGCUAGUUGGUGGGGUAACGGCCCACCAAGGCGACGAUACAUAGCCGACCUGGGAGGGUGGUCGGCCACACUGGGACUGAGACACGGCCCAGACUCCUAAGGGAAGCAGCAGUAGGGAAUCUUCGGCAAUGGACGGAAGGCUGACCGAGCAAAGCCGCGGGAGUGAAGAAGGUUGUCGGAUCGUAAAGCUCGGUUGUAAGAGAAGAACGAGGGUGAGAGUGGAAAGUUCACACUGUGACGGUAUCUUACCAGAAAGGGACGGCUAACUACGUG